rnacentral:rRNA from 1 species
GACGAACGCUGGCGGCGUGCCUAAUACAUGCAAGUUGAGCGCUGAAGGUUGGUACUUGUACCAACUGGAUGAGCAGCGAACGGGUGAGUAACGCGUGGGGAAUCUGCCUUUGAGCGGGGGACAACAUUUGGAAACGAAUGCUAAUACCGCAUAAAAACUUUAAACACAAGUUUUAAGUUUGAAAGAUGCAAUUGCAUCACUCAAAGAUGAUCCCGCGUUGUAUUAGCUAGUUGGUGAGGUAAAGGCCCACCAAGGCGAUGAUACAUAGCCGACCUGAGAGGGUGGUCGGCCAAAUUGGGACUGAGACACGGCCCAAACUCCUACGGGGGGCAGCAGUAGGGAAUCUUCGGCAAUGGACGGAAGGCUGACCGAGCAACGCCGCGGGAGUGAAGAAGGUUUUCGGAUCGUAAAACUCUGUUGGUAGAGAAGAACGUUGGUGGGAGUGGAAAGCUCAUCAAGUGACGGUAACUACCCAGAAAGGGACGGCUAACUACGUG